GACGAACGCUGGCGGCGUGCUUAACACAUGCAAGUCGAACGGAAAGGCCCUGCUUUUGUGGGGUGCUCGAGUGGCGAACGGGUGAGUAACACGUGAGUAACCUGCCCUUGACUUUGGGAUAACUUCAGGAAACUGGGGCUAAUACCGGAUAGGAGCUCCUGCUGCAUGGUGGGGGUUGGAAAGUUUCGGCGGUUGGGGAUGGACUCGCGGCUUAUCAGCUUGUUGGUGGGGUAGUGGCUUACCAAGGCUUUGACGGGUAGCCGGCCUGAGAGGGUGACCGGCCACAUUGGGACUGAGAUACGGCCCAGACUCCUACGGGAGGCAACAGUGGGGAAUAUUGCACAAUGGGCGGAAGCCUGAUGCAGCAACGCCGCGUGCGGGAUGACGGCCUUCGGGUUGUGAACCGCUUUCGCCUGUGACGAAGCGUGAGUGACGGUAAUGGGUGAAGAAGCACCGGCUAACUACGUG
rnacentral:rRNA from 1 species